CCUACGGGAGGCAGCAGUGAGGAAUAUUGGUCAAUGGGCGGGAGCCUGAACCAGCCAAGCCGCGUGAGGGAAGAAGGUACAGCGUAUCGUAAACCUCUUUUGUCAGGGAACAAAUGCGGGGACUAGUCCCCGGAUGAGGGUACCUGAAGAAAAAGCAUCGGCUAACUCCGUGCCAGCAGCCGCGGUAAUACGGAGGAGGUGAGCGUUAUCGGGAUCUAUUGGGGUUAAAGGGUGAGCAGGCGGCCAGUUAAGUAGACGGGAAAAGCCCGGGGCUAAACCCAGACGAGCAGUUGAAACUGGCAGGCUAGAGUUGGAGAGAGGUAGGCGGAAUGCGCGGUGUAGCGGUAAAAUGCUUAGAGAUCGCGCAGAAUCCCGAUUGCGAAGGCAGCGUGCCGGCUCCACACUGACGCUGAGGCACGAAAGCGUGGGUAUCGAACAGGAUUAGAUACCCUAGUAGUC
rnacentral:rRNA from 1 species